UUACCCGCCGGAACUUAAGCAUAUCAAUAAGCGGAGGAAAAGAAACCCAACAGGGAUUGCCCUAGUAACGGCGAGUGAAGCGGCAACAGCUCAAAUUUGAAAUCUGGCUCUUUCAGAGUCCGAGUUGUAAUUUGCAGAGGGCGCUUUGGCUUUGGCAGCGGUCCAAGUUCCUUGGAACAGGACGUCACAGAGGGUGAGAAUCCCGUACGUGGUCGCUAGCUAUUGCCGUGUAAAGCCCCUUCGACGAGUCGAGUUGUUUGGGAAUGCAGCUCUAAAUGGGAGGUAAAUUUCUUCUAAAGCUAAAUAUUGGCCAGAGACCGAUAGCGCACAAGUAGAGUGAUCGAAAGAUGAAAAGCACUUUGGAAAGAGAGUCAAACAGCACGUGAAAUUGUUGAAAGGGAAGCGCUUGCAGCCAGACUUGCUUGCAGUUGCUCAUCCGGGCUUUUGCCCGGUGCACUCUUCUGCAGGCAGGCCAGCAUCAGUUUGGGCGGUGGGAUAAAGGUCUCUGUCACGUACCUCUCUUCGGGGAGGACUUAUAGGGGAGGCGACAUACCACCAGCCUGGACUGAGGUCCGCGCAUCUGCUAGGAUGCUGGCGUAAUGGCUGUAAGCGGCCCGUCUUGAAACACGGACCAAGGAGUCUAACAUCUAUGCGAGUGUUUGGGUGUCAAGCCCGAGCGCGUAAUGAAAGUGAACGGAGGUGGGAACCCGCAAGGGCGCACCAUCGACCGAUCCUGAAGUUUACGGAAGGAUUUGAGUAAGAGCAUGGCUGUUGGGACCCGAAAGAUGGUGAACUAUGCUUGAAUAGGGUGAAGCCAGAGGAAACUCUGGUGGAGGCUCGCAGCGGUUCUGACGUGCAAAUCGAUCGUCAAAUUUGGGCAUAGGGU
rnacentral:rRNA from 1 species